rnacentral:tRNA from 1 species
AAUAAAGUGCCUGACAAAAGGGUUAUUCUGAUAGAGUAAAUUAUGUAAUUUUUUACCUUUAUUA